AAACUAACAAGGAUUCCCCUAGUAGCGGCGAGCGAAGCGGGAAGAGCUCAAAUUUAUAAUCUGGCACCUUCGGUGUCCGAGUUGUAAUCUCUAGAAGUGUUUUCCGCGUUGGACCGCACACAAGUCUGUUGGAAUACAGCGGCAUAGUGGUGAGACCCCCGUAUAUGGUGCGGACGCCCAACGCUUUGUGAUACACUUUCGAAGAGUCGAGUUGUUUGGGAAUGCAGCUCAAAUUGGGUGGUAAAUUCCAUCUAAAGCUAAAUAUUGGCGAGAGACCGAUAGCGAACAAGUACCGUGAGGGAAAGAUGAAAAGCACUUUGGAAAGAGAGUUAACAGUACGUGAAAUUGUUGGAAGGGAAACGCUUGAAGUCAGACUUGCUUGCCGAGCAAUCGGUUUGCAGGCCAGCAUCAGUUUUCCGGGGUGGAUAAUGGUAGAGAGAAGGUAGCAGUUUCGGCUGUGUUAUAGCUCUCUGCUGGAUACACCUUGGGGGACUGAGGAACGCAGUGUGCCUUACGGCGGAUUUCUCGAGAUCUUCACACUUAGGAUGCUGGUGGAAUGGCUUUAAACGACCCGUCU
rnacentral:rRNA from 1 species